AGUGAGGCACAGGGAAAGGGCAAUCAAGGGGCAAUCAAAGGGCAUUUAGAACACCAUACAAAAUAAAACGGUACCAAUCAAGAAAGCCACGAAAGGAAAAAAUAUAUAAAGCAUUAUCUGCUAAAAGUAUGGGUGCUUUUAUGACGUAAAUAACUAUAUAAUAUUCUUAAGUAGUAAAUCCUAGACCAAACUGAAAUGUUCAUAAUUGACUGAAAUAUGUCCUUCAUUUUAGAUUGUGCUACAGUAAGGAAUUUAUCUUAAUUCAGCUUCAAUAUUCGAAAAAUAUUCUUAAAUACAUAUAUAUUUGGGGGAAAAAGCAUAUUACACCAAGUGAUUUUUGCCGUUAUCCUGGAAUACUUGAUCUGCAACUGUAAUGAAUUUUGUUGCACUUAUGUAACAGUGAACAUACAAUCUGGAAGUUUUACAAUAUGGAAUUCUCCAUAAAGUUCAAAAUUAUUUUCUCUCAUAACCAAUGGUCAAGAUAAGGAGUAGUAAACCUGACUGAAGCAGAAUUAGCAUGUUCACUGUAUUAUGAUUAUUCACGGCUUAUCUGGAAGUAAGAAUAAUCAAAGUUCUUAUGUUAACAUGGGAGUGUCACAGAUACCCUUCGGUGUGCUCUGGACUGUGCUGAGAUGGCAUUUUAGUGGUGGUUCAAGGAGUGACAGUCAGUAUCUCAGUGAAAGCUGAGAACACCAUUGCACAACCUAAUCCCAAGGUUAAAGGAAGUUAGAUCCACUUCGGCGCAGUAAAAAAUGCUUGACUGGUUGUGAGAUCUGCUGUAGGCGACGUUUUUGCCGUCCUACCCAAAGUUUGGAAGUUUGCCCUGAAAUCAGCUUGGCUGGGGGGCAUUAAAAGGUUAUUACCAGGAGCAAGAGUAUUAAUAGAUGCAAAGGCGCCCUGAGUCCAGUUGGCACGGUUUGCAGGCCUCGUGAUCCGGCAUGACAUUCUGAACCGGUCAGAGCUGCUGACUGACCACUGAAGGGCGAGACCAAAGGCAGAGACCGCGGGAAUGCAAGAGAGCAAACAGGCAAAUCUGAAAAUGCUACUUAUAGCUAGUUUGUGGACAGUGAGCCAUAGAAAGUGGGGGCACAACCUUUUCAUUUGAAUAAAGGUACAUUAUUGGAACUUUAAGAUUCAACAAUAGGAUGAAUAGUUCUCCCAGGACCUGCUGAACGCUGGAUAGCAGUCUUUUAUGAUGGCUUAUUGCAUUUAUGCAGUGUGACACACACAUCUAAGGUUUCUCCAUAGGUCUGGAUGGCAGAGAUGGACGUACCUCCAGGCUGUCUGUAGCGAGCGAGGUGGCGGGGGGUGGAAGGCGAUCGGCAUGGGGACAUGUCUCCUGGCUCAUUCACUGGGGGUGUCUCUGGGAUGAACUUGUCCAUUGACACAGACUCUAGCACCGCUGUCAAAAAGGACCACAAGAGACCACAAAGAUGCCAUUCUGUGUGGGGGCGAAAAUCGUAGACAAGUUCCUGUGCCGAUGUCCACAUAGUGCUUUUCUUUGGAACGUACGUGUGGUGAUACCUCCAG